GAUGAACGCUGGCGAGAUGCUUUACACAUGCAAGUCGUACGAGAGUUUUUAAUUCAAGUGGCGGACGGGUGAGUAACACGUAAGAAUUUGCCUUUGGGAGGGGGACAACAAUUGGAAACGAUUGCUAAUACCCCAUAUGCUUUCGAGUGAAAUGGAUUUUUCCGCCUAAAGAGAAGCUUGCGGCUGAUUAGCUUGUUGGUAAGGUAAUGGCUUACCCAAGGCGACGAUCAGUAUUCG
rnacentral:rRNA from 1 species